rnacentral:rRNA from 1 species
CAGUCGAGCGGUAGAGAGAAGCUUGCUUCUCUUGAGAGCGGCGGACGGGUGAGUAAUGCCUAGGAAUCUGCCUGGUAGUGGGGGAUAACGUUCGGAAACGGACGCUAAUACCGCAUACGUCCUACGGGAGAAAGCAGGGGACCUUCGGGCCUUGCGCUAUCAGAUGAGCCUAGGUCGGAUUAGCUAGUUGGUGAGGUAAUGGCUCACCAAGGCGACGAUCCGUAACUGGUCUGAGAGGAUGAUCAGUCACACUGGAACUGAGACACGGUCCAGACUCCUACGGGAGGCAGCAGUGGGGAAUAUUGGACAAUGGGCGAAAGCCUGAUCCAGCCAUGCCGCGUGUGUGAAGAAGGUCUUCGGAUUGUAAAGCACUUUAAGUUGGGAGGAAGGGUUGUAGAUUAAUACUCUGCAAUUUUGACGUUACCGACAGAAUAAGCACCGGCUAACUCUGUGCCAGCAGCCGCGGUAAUACAGAGGGUGCAAGCGUUAAUCGGAAUUACUGGGCGUAAAGCGCGCGUAGGUGGUUUGUUAAGUUGGAUGUGAAAUCCCCGGGCUCAACCUGGGAACUGCAUUCAAAACUGACUGACUAGAGUAUGGUAGAGGGUGGUGGAAUUUCCUGUGUAGCGGUGAAAUGCGUAGAUAUAGGAAGGAACACCAGUGGCGAAGGCGACCACCUGGACUAAUACUGACACUGAGGUGCGAAAGCGUGGGGAGCAAACAGGAUUAGAUACCCUGGUAGUCCACGCCGUAAACGAUGUCAA